GAAAAGGCACCUAAAUCUUUCCCUCACGGAAUCCGAAGGUAUAACUUUCCUCAGGACGACUCCUCAGUUCCAAAGACAGCGAAGUUGAAAGGCUUGGGAGAAGAAGAGGACGUGAAGUGAGGAGAGGCGUGGAAAAAAUUAAAAGAGGAGUCCCACUGCGUGAAAGUGGACAGAAGGACGGACGAGGAGGAAGCCCCACCCACAGCUUCCUGUUUAUUUCGAACCCUUCCAGGACCAGCAGCUCGAGAGGCGCUGAGCUCACACCUCGUCUUCCCAACUCUCGGGUGGGCCUGU
rnacentral:lncRNA from 1 species